CAUAAACUCUCAAACAAGCCAUGAAAUGGAGUUUAGAAGUACUACAACCUUAGAGGGGAAUUGUUUCAAGGCUAUACAAGAGUUUAAGGUACCAUAUUGACUCCUAAGGGGAGUUUACGGCCCAAAGACCCUUUUCCCUUGGAGUUUACGGCCGUAAACUCCCUUGGGAGGGUUCUUAUUGUCCUUUCAAGUCUCUAACAUUUCUAGGAACAAGUCUAGGCUUCAAUACUUGGAUUAAGGAAGGUUUAAGGCACUAAAUGGGACCAUUUGAUGGAUUUUACGGCCAUAGAACUCUUUGGGCCGUAAACUCCCUCACACAUGAGGUCCUAAGAAUUUUAACUAGUCCACAUCACAUCUAGGUACUUGCCCUAAAAGUUUCUUGGCCUAAGGAAGUGUCUAUGGUGUCCUUUAGUAAACUCCCUCACACAUGAGGUCCUAAGAAUUUUAACUAGUCCACAUCACAUCUAGGUACUUGCCCUAAAAGUUUCUUGGCCUAAGGAAGUGUCUAUGGUGUCCUUUAACCCCAUUAAAGGAGUUUACGGCCCAAGAAAUACUCUUGGCCGUAAACUCUCCAACACUUUAGCUUUUCAUGAUUUUUCUAGGUCCUAAACCCAUCAAGGUGCUUGCUAAAAAUGAAGACUAAGCCUUAGGAAGAGUUUGAAGUGGUUUUUGGCACUAAAACUUGGAGUUUACGGCCCAAGGAGUUUCUUGGCCGUAAACUCCCUUAUAGAAAUGAUUUCUAAGGGUUUUGAUGGCAUAAAUCAUGAGUUUAAAGCUUCUAGGUUUUUGUUCUAAGGCUAGGGAUCACAAGGCACUCAUUUGUGCCCUUUACUUGGAGUUUACGGCCCAAGAGGUGGUUCCUUGGCCGUAAACUCCUCAAACUACUUGCUUUUGAUUUGUUUCUAGCCUCUAAUGAUCAUACACUAAGUCCUUAGUUAGAUGCCUAACACGGAAAUGGGACUAUGUGGCCUUUAGGCUUGAUUUUGGAGUUUACUCCCCAAGAACGUUCUUGGGCGGUAAACUCCCGGAUCUUGUGUUUUGGACAUGUAAACAAUGUUAUAAGGCAUAUAACAAGUAUUAAAACACAUUUAGGGAAGUAGACUCACAAUCUGGGAUGAAACCCGAAGAUCCGUGAGAGAGAAAUUGACUUUUCUCUAUUUGGAAUUCAACUAAUGAACCAAUUUGGUUCAGAAAUCUAUUUAUAGUCCUGAGAUUUUUGGUAGAAAAUAUUUCUAUUCUCGAAAUGGAUUCUAAUGGCCUAGAGUAAUGGAAUUUCAGUGUUGCACAAAAUCCUAGUGCACCCACUCUCCUAAUAACUCCUUAGGUGUAAAACCCUAAAAUUGCCAAACUUAUUCCAAAAGUUUGAAUUUUCACUGAAACUGUUCUACUUCCAUUGGAUUGAUGUGGUUUGAUUUGAAUGGGAAAUUUCGGGUUGUCACAUCAUCCCCCUGUUAAAGGGAAUUUCGUCCCAAAAUUAGAAUUUAGGCAAAGAAGUAUGCACGAAUGAUCGAGACGUGAGGAGGAAACUUCCUAAUCGUUUGGUUCUAGCGCACUUAAGUGAAAUCGGGCUCUCGGUUGGUAUCCCAACGAACCUUCACUAAUUGGCGACGACAUUGCUUCGUCCACUUGACCUCUCGGUCGAGGGUCACUACGGUUCUAAUACGAAGGCGAGGAUCUCGACGUGUGGACUUGUAAGAGUCCAAACGGAAAGAUAUGGAUUUACGAUUGAAAUGCGAAGAGUAGAAAGUAUGUUACUGAGAUCGCGAAGUAGGUCUAGUUUGUGCGAGGCACAGGACAGAUUCUGAUAAGAAUCUCGGAGGCCCUGCCAAACUUGGAUUUAGCUUUUCACGCUUUACGAAGCGUAUUAAGCCAUUCUCAGAGUGAUUUAUCCUAAAGAACUUGGUCACUCACUCGGAAUCUCGAAGGUUCCUUUUCCUGAGUAACUUCCCAGUCCAAGGCCACCCCUUGCUGGGUCGAAUUCGUACAAGUUUCUGUAGCUUGCGAGGAGUCCUGAAUGAACUAAGGCGGUAGGUCGGUAAGACCUAGAAUUUGGCGAAAAACUGUCGGCGUCUCUGGUGUCGAUAGAUGCUCAAUGGUUUUGGCAAAUUGAAAGAGUACUCAAAAUUUCCCACAUUACUAACAGUGUGUCCUAGAAAUUUGACUCUUCAAUUUCCAAAUCUCGUGCCUAGAGAACUUUGCUAAAAGUUCCUCUGUAGGAAAUAUUUUCAUGGGUUUUCUUCUUACUACGAGGGUAGACAAGUAAUUCAUUUCAUGGAGAAAUGACGAAUCGAUCCAAGUAAGAAAGACGUAACCCUAAACAUUUAUCUCAUGAAAACCAUGGGCGUAUUGGUCCUAUCCGAAAGGUAUCACUACGGACUCGAGGCGUCCGCAUCGAAUUCGGAAGAUAGUCUCCCAGACAUCCUUCCCUAACACAUCGAACGGGUGAUAUUCGGAUCUUAGGUCCAUUCCUGGAAGUAUUUCUUUCCUUACGUGUGCUCAACCAUUUUGUCUAUGUGAGGCAGAGAUAACGAUUUCUAUAAAAAUCUUGACGGAUUCCUCGAUAACCGAGGCACAUACGAUGCGAUCCAUCGAUCUCUGGAAGAAUCUGACCGGGGUUCUCUAGGGUGAGAAACCUAGUCUUCUAAUUCUAUUUCUGUGUUGUUCGCCAUGUUGUUCGUAUUGUUCUUGCAUCUCCAUGGGUGUUUAAACUAUAGGGUGAUCUGUUUUCGGGAGUCGUACUGGGUUCUAAGUUUGUUCACAUGACGAUGUGAUUAGUCGUAUACUUCGGCAGUUUCUCUGUCCUGAAGUCCAUUUUAGAAUUCAUACAGGGCUUCACAAUCACAAUUUCGUGUAUACGAGUAGUAUAUAAUUAAGACUGAAAAGGUAGUCGAAUAACUGAUUCUUCCUUACCCUCACAUCCCAAGGAGGAAAAGAGUUAAGGCGGAAUCAUCAAUUCUAAACCUGUAGAACCUUGAUUAUAUAACACUCUUAUGUAUACCUUCCUCAGUGAUAGAUCAUCCGUAUGAAUCCCUGGAUUGAACUUGACGUACUGCACGAGUGGUACUUCGGGGAUUUCUUCGGAAAGAAAAUAACUAAGAGGUACUCCUGGAAUGAGUACUUCUGCGUUCCGAUAUGACGGCUUCGCUGGAAAAGUGAUCUAAAAGAUAGGGACAUACGUAUGAAGCUGUUUUCGCGUCGAUAAAAUGGAAUCUGAUUGUAUGAUAAUGUCGGAAUCAUACAGAAAUUUUAAAGACAUUUGAAUUAAACAUAAGACGUUUACAGAUAAAACACAACCGUGCAACCAUGAACAAGAGUUACAGUACUUUAGAUUUACCACAAGACUAUUGCUGCGAAUAAGAUAUACUACAAAAGGCAAGUAUACGCAGCACGAGAAUUCCUAUACAGACAGGGUCUCGCAAAAGGUAAGACUCUAGUUGCACUAGCUUUAAACAGUUUGAACGCAUACUUAAAUACUGCCAAAAGGGAGUGAACCUAUGCUAUAGCAAGGUUUGGGGUUUAAACCCCUCCUGUUCCCCCGUUGCUCUUCACUGAUGGGCAGUCCCUCUUGAGGUGUCCCAUUACACCACAUAUAUGGCAUAUUUGAGAAGUUCUGACAUUUGUGGUUGAAGUAAUGUGUUGGACCAGAAUAUUGCAGUAGCGGAUGGUGUGUCCCUUCUUGUUGCAGUUUAAGCACUGCAUUUCCCAAUAGAGCCCAUAGUGGUGAUAAUUGCAUUUGAUGCAUUUUGGGAGUUUGCCAACGUAAGGUCUGACUGGAUUAACAGGGAUACCAGAAAGAAUGGCAGUGGGGAGUACAGACGUCGUGGCUGUGAAGGUUGCCACUGGUUGUUGUCUUUUGCUCGCUCCCUGAGGUGACUUUCCUUUAACUCCACCCCUGAACUUUCGUUUGCUAUUCUUAGGCUUACGAUUCGGAGUGUUGUGGUAGUUCGUUGUUCAUGGAUGUACUUGGUUGUCAAUUUGAUUGGAUUCGUUGAUACCCAUUCCACUAACAUUUGCAUUGUUAGCGUUUAGGUGGGUCAGAAAAGCUGCUACGAUAGUUAAAACUGCGACUAGGAAGGAAGCUGCAUCAAUAUAAAGGGUAGGGAAUUCAUUGUUCCAGUGACUAUUUCCGGAUGGAGGCAUGAUUUCUGCAAUACGAAAGAGUAAAGAUUUGUGAGCGAUUCUGGUUGACCCUGAUGUACUUAGAUUGUUCAUGAAAAGAGUACGUGUAUGAUCUCGAAAGUUUGACCUACAUCCCUAUGAUGCAGUCCCGGUACUGAAUGGAAGUAUGUUCGUAGAAUGGUCUCAAAACGUUUGUCGUUCGAACUGAGGUAUCGUGGGUUGGUCAAUGAUCCAACCACUGAAAGAGACUUGGAAGUGUCCCUUGGAAUAAAUCACCAUAGUCCAAUGACUUGACUAAAGUAUGAUUCAGAUAGACUCCAAUGAAGGUAAGAUAAUAGUACUUGAAUGAAGAAUGACGCAUAAGUUAGCCGGCUGUCAAUAUCUUUGAUAUUCACGAUGUAAAGAUUCGGGAAAAUGACAUUUUAAAGGUCUUACAUCAUAUUCACAGAAGAUAGUUCCUGACAGCAUAAAGACCUAACUAAAGUACUUACGGAACAAGAUAAUUUCAUAGAAAUUAUCACAUCGGGCAUAGACAGAAAAACACGAUUUCUUUUUAUAAGGGGAAUAAAGUAAAGCGUCUACUAUGGGCGACGGUCAUCCCUCUGGUGAACUCUUAGUUCAACCAAUUGACGUUCCAUGUCAAGUAGGUGUCUUUCGUACACCAUCUGGCGUACUCGGAGCUCUAUGACUUCGGCUCGUGAUUCAGCCAGUGCUUGCAGCAGGGUUUCAUGGUUUCUCUCUGAUCUCUCGUGAACAUCCUCUAGAUGAAUGGUGUGGAGGGUAUGCAUUCUAGCAUAGGCGACUAUUUCUGAAAUCUGACGUAGGGCAGUCCUGUCUUGAAUCUCAAUUCAGGCCACUAUGCGGGCCAAGAUUGGCAAGACUAUAUCUGUUAAGCAAUCAUUGCUCACGUCAUAAAAGCUUCGGUCGCCAUCAAAUGGCAUAUACUGAUCUUGUCCGUGGCUCCCUGUUUCCAAGCAUUCCACUCACUCAGGGUCGGGCCAUGAAAAGCCGGACGAGGGUUAGGAAUUGGAAAGGGAGCUGCUCGGGGUAGGUUCUCAACCUCUGGUUCGGAGUUAGCAUCAUACGAAAAGUCUUCAUCAUGGUGAUCAUUCAAGGGGAUAGGAUGAUCAUUCUCUGGUUCUUCUCCAAACCAACCAGCUAUGACUUCAUUCGGAAGAUACUGGUUGCCGAGGGGAUGGAGUCCAGCUAUGUUUUCUAUGCGAGAAUUUAGGGUAAGAGAAUAAUUAUUAGACGAACUAUCUAGAUAAUUAUUUAGAAAACCUUCAUUAGUUACAUCGCUAUUUCUGAAGUGCAUACCAGCUAUGUGUAAUCUAAACAGGAUAGACCUUCGAAUAAGUGACCUUAACUCCUUAUUCACACAGAAUAGGGGUAAGGCAAAAUUAUCACAGAUUCUGAGUCUAUAACAUCCUAAUUACAUGUAGCCUCAGUGUAUCCACUUAGCAACUAUCAACUUAGUAAUGAAGAUCCCGUUUUAAUUCUCAAGUAAAAAGUACUUAUAGUAACACCAAAAUACACCUAUAGUAUUUUAAAUUUAUUGUUAUGUUCUAUUGUUCUCAUUGUGGUAGGGUAGUUAAGAUUUUAGCAUUGUUGCAACCACACACAUAAACUUUAGGCACUGCUAGUCAACCCUCGGAUAAUAUAGGCGAUCAGGCUAUAUCUUCCCAGUUUUGACCAUAUGUCUCUAAGCCCACUUGUGUUGCCCAACAAUCGUAAUUCUUUUGUACUGUCCUAGUGACACUGAUUUUAGUAUGAAUGCAGCACGUAUACUUACUUAAAUAUUUUACUAUUUAAAGUAUAAACUCUUGGUCAGAGUAUUUUUAAUCCCUUAUGUAUUUAUAGUUAGUAUAUCUUUUAUGGGUUGAUAUACUUAAUUCACUAUAAACAAUGCUCUGAUACCAAUCUGUCACACCCCAAAACCAAGAACGGCGGAAACGUUCUGGGGCGGAGGACGUCAUGUAUAAUAUCAACAACAAUGUAAAGUAGUAAACAAGCAACAACAUCAUCCAUUGCAUUAAUAAAAUAAUUAUUAUACAAUUGUAUUCUGUCAAAUUUUGAUAAACACUAAAGCAUAAAUCAAAAUGAAAGAUAAGUCUUGAAUAAGCUCCAUCUUCCUUUCUCCUUGCAUCGGUACCUGUCUAUGAUGACCUGAGGAUACAAGUAAUUUUGAAAGCGAGUAUCAGCUAUAAAGCUGGUGAGAUCAUAAGUAUUAAUGUGUCUUAAUUUGUAUGUAAGAAUUUGUAAUUGUAAGUAUUGUAAGAAUUUGUAAGUGUAAAUGUAUAUGAAUUGUAAUCGUUUGAAAAACCCUAGAAUCCCUAUGAUUCCUUCUAGUAUGUGAAGGUGUCUUCUACCAAGACCUAAUUGUUCUGUGUGUGUGUCUCUUGUAUGAGUAUGUGUUUUUCCAAAGUAUAACUAUCAUUAUCCAAAAAUAUAGUUUGUACAUUUAUGUUUAAGUGAGGUUAUCACUAAAAAUAUGUACUGGAAAAAUUAACGUAGUACUAAACGUAGCUCUAAUAGGACUACUACCGUACUAACUACCUCAGGCCGGAUUUUGGGCAAAGGCACUAUGUGAUAAAUUGCGCCAUACUAUCGACUAGUAACAACGACAUAAUGAAUGGUCGUAAUAAAGAAAUGACGUUUGGCACCCGCAGACCUGCAGGUCCGGCUGUAGCUAGCAGCAAGGUGUAGGAUUGUCAAUCCAGCAUAGAUCUAUACACAAACUCAUACUAUGGACUGGUUCAUCGACAUAAGAAUGGUCGAAAUAAGGUAUGACGUUUGGCACCCGCAGACCUGCAGGUCCAGCUGUAGCUAGCAGCAAGGCGUAGGAUAGUCAAUCCUUUAUAGAAUCUAUACGCAAACUCAACGCUCCCCCUUCUAGAGACUCUGGCCGCAACUCAAGUCAUGAGGUUUUAAGUCAUGCUCCGAUUUAAAUCACACUAUCGACGUAUUCUCGUAUUUGUAAACGUAAUGUACUGUUCUAGCUAUAAUGCAAUGGACUGUUCUACCAAGUAUAGCAACGUAAUGAGCUGUAAUGUUCUAUGUGUGCUAGCUGUAAUGUGUGUUCUUUCUAUCUAGCAAGUAUAGUAGUGUAAGCAUUCUAGUAUAGUUGUAUAUGUUCUCGCCCUAGUAUAGAUGUAUAUGUAAUGUACAAUAAUGUUCUAGAAAGUAUUGACUCAUGAAUGAACUGACUCAUUGUAUGAUAUCGCGUUCUAGUAAUGGUUCUAGUAUCUUCCUGAACUACCCAUAUGGUAGCUUACUAGUAAUCUAAGUGGUACGUAUGGACGUGGAUGUAUACCCUUGCUACCCAAGGGCAUAGGAUGAAUUGGAAGGACCUUUUAUGACUUUAUAUGUACACAUGAUAUAUAACUAAUAUUUAAACGACCUUCGGACGAGUAUCCGAUAUCCCACCAGACCACAUCUCAAGCGCGAAAAGGAAAUAGGGUGGAUAGCCUUCCUAAGUCUUUUAAACAUUUCUUAUAUAACUAUACAUAUAGAGGCAUGCAAUUUAUAAUAUCAAAGCAUAAAUAAGUUUAACAACAUUUGAAGUAUAAAUAUUAGUCUAAGGAAAGAUCGACUUGAUGUCAAUCUAUAAAACAAUUUGAAGGCAUAAGUCUGAAAAAACGAUAUAAGUACAAGGAACAUUUGUUUGAAAACACAGUAUAUGUACAAGGAACAUUUGUUUGAAAACACAGUUGUAAAUAAGUUUGAAAAAUGAUGACAGUGUAAGAAUUACAGUGUAAUAAGUAGUUUAAAUCAUAUUAAAUGUUUAUAAAAACCAUUUGAAGGAAAACUAUUUGUUAAAACGGCUAGUGAGUAGCCAAAUCUUUUGAAUGUUGUAUAUUAAUCACAUGUGAUUGAUGUAAUAAGUAAUAUAAUCCUACUUACUAGUCACAUGUGAUUGACAUAAUAAGUAGCGUGAUUCUACUUGUAUCCCCCCAUAAAACAUUUAAAAUAGUUUAAAACAUUAGUUAAGGGGUAUGAACUCACCUGCAGUAUGAGACUGGAAAUGAACGGGCUGUUAUCGUACGGAAGGAUCGGACAAGUGCUUGGUGUCAAGUGAUGACUUAGACACACACAAUGAUCCUAAUUACAUAUGAAGACAUAUGUAUAUAAAUAAUUAGAGAUUUAAUCACUAACUGUACAAGUAUAAACAUUUACGCGCGAGGUCAACACUUUUGGUCAAGUNAAUAACAUUUAAGCGCGAGGACAACACUUUUGGUCAAGUGCUAGGAGGCUAAUGGGUUGCAACAAAGAAGUGCAAUGCCCCUAAUGAAAGUUUAAGGUCAAAAGACCAUAUUCAUUGGAGUUUACGGCCCAGGGGAGUAAGCUCCUGGCCGUAAACUCUCAAACAAGGCUUGGAAUGGUACUUUGAAUUACUACAACUCUAGUGGGAAUUGUUUCAAGGCCUAUACAAGUGUUUGGGCACCACAUUGACUCCUUCGUGGAGUUUACGGCCCAAAGACCCUUCUCCCUUGGAGUUUACGGCCGUAAACUCCCUUGGGAGGGUUCUUAUUGUCCUUUCAAGUCUCUAACAUUUCUAGGAACAAGUCUAGGCUUCAAUACUUGGAUCAAGGGAGGUUUAUGGCAUUAAAUGGAACCAUUUGAUGGAGUUUACG
rnacentral:lncRNA from 1 species